UUUGAAGCGACUCUUAUCUCACUGAUAUCCAAGUCGUCACCAAAGACACAGUCAUGCUUCACUAGAAGGAAAAAGUAUGAAAAGGAAAAUAAAAAAUGCAAAUAUCAGCAACUAGGCCAUAAAAAGCAAAUCUGAGUUGCGCACAAAAAUGAAAUAUUAGUCCCUUAUCAUUGUAAAAGUAGCUCAUUUUUUACUACUACAGUGAGGAAAGAGUUUUAUUUAUCUAAGCUAUAUAGAUUAAGAGAUCAACAAAUUAAUCUAGUUAACAAAAGAAGAAAAAGAAGACGAAAACUACAUGGCAAUGCUUUGUAAAUUGUAAUUGAAAGAAAUGGAAGAACUUGUAGAAAUUGGAGCAUACUGGAGAUAUUUCGGUUGCAAUUGUGGUUGUUGAACUCUUUUAAAAACAGUGUUAAAGAUUCAACAUCUAGAGCACAUUUCUCUACUUUCUAUAUGUUGAAUAUUAUUAUCCAAAUGAAAAUCAAUUUAUCUUUUAACCAAAGGAAUCAGAACAAGGUGUUGUUAGAACACAUAAUAUAAAAGAUACAAAGGAAAAAGCCAUUUUGAGAUGCCAAGUGACAAAUGAAGCUCGUCAAGAGAAUAGGCUAAGCUUAGAGAAAUGUUGCUUUAUAUAUCCUUAUUCCAGUGAUAUACUCAGAUAUGCUAUUGCUAACAUAUUACCAUAGUCAACACCCCAAUCAGCAUACUGUUGAUAGAGCGACCUCAAGAAUGCCCUUCCAGCACCCAACUUUGUGUCAACGCUCAUGAAUCCAUUCUUCAUCCACUUACAAGCCCUCUCUUUCAUUCCUAU
rnacentral:lncRNA from 1 species